UACGAAGGGGGCGAGCGUUGUUCGGAUUUACUGGGCGUAAAGGGCGCGCAGGCGGCUUCUCAAGUCAGGGGUGAAAGCCCAGAGCUCAACUCUGGAAUUGCCUUUGAGACUGUGAAGCUUGAGUACGAGAGAGGUGAGUGGAAUUCCCAGUGUAGAGGUGAAAUUCGUAGAUAUUGGGAAGAACACCGGUGGCGAAGGCGGCUCACUGGCUCGUAACUGACGCUCAUGCACGACAGCGUGGGGAUCAAACAGG
rnacentral:rRNA from 1 species